rnacentral:ncRNA from 2 species
CGGAAAUAACAGGGGAGCCCGUGUUUCGGGCUGAGAAAAAGGAACCGACCUUUGACCCUUGACCUGAUUUGGAUUAUGCCAACGUAGGGAGUUAUGCUGACACCACA